AUACGUAGGGGGCAAGCGUUAUCCGGAUUUACUGGGUGUAAAGGGAGCGCAGACGGCGAUGCAAGUCUGAAGUGAAAUGCCGCAGCUCAACUGCGGAAUUGCUUUGGAAACUGUGUGGCUAGAGUAUCGGAGGGGGAAGCGGAAUUCCUAGUGUAGCGGUGAAAUGCGUAGAUAUUAGGAAGAACACCGGUGGCGAAGGCGGCUUACUGGACGAUAACUGACGUUGAGGCUCGAAAGCGUGGGGAGCAAACAGGAUUAGAUCCCCUGGUAGUCCACGCCGUAAACGAUGAAUACUAGGUGUCGGCAUCUAAGAGAUGUCGGUGCCGCCGCUAACGCAUUAAGUAUUCCACCUGGGGAGUACGUUCGCAAGAAUGAAACUCAAAUGAAUUGACGGGG
rnacentral:rRNA from 1 species